AUAUAUUUUGUAAAAAAAAAAAAAUCUGUUCUUAUCAGUUUAAUAUCUGAUACGUCCCCCAUCGGGGGACUACAUAUUAAAUGGAUUU
rnacentral:snRNA from 8 species